GUCCACGCUGUAAACGAUGGGCACUAGGUGUGGGGGUGUCGACUCCCCCGUGCCGAAGCUAACGCAUUAAGUGCCCCGCCUGGGGAGUACGGCCGCAAGGCUAAAACUCAAAGGAAUUGACGGGGCCCGCACAAGCAGCGGAGCAUGUGGUUUAAUUCGACGCAACGCGAAGAACCUUACCUGGGCUUGACAUGUGAGUGACAACCGUGGAAACACGGUCUCCCUUCGGGGCACUUUCACAGGUGGUGCAUGGCUGUCGU
rnacentral:rRNA from 1 species